rnacentral:rRNA from 1 species
UACGGAGGGGGGCUAGCGUUGUUCGGAAUUACUGGGCGUAAAGCGCACGUAGGCGGCUUUGUAAGUUAGAGGUGAAAGCCCAGGGCUUAACCCUGGAAUUGCCUUUAAGACUGCAUCGCUAGAAUUGUGGAGAGGUAAGUGGAAUUCCGAGUGUAGAGGGUGAAAAUUCGUAGAUAUUCGGAAGAACACCAGUGGCGAAGGCGGCUCACUGGACUGGUAUUGACGCUGAGGUGCGAAAGCGUGGGGAGCAAACAGG